GAAGAAUACAGUGUGUUUGAAUCUGGCAUUGGUGUUGGCAUGAAAGAAUUCAAUCCCCUAGAUGCAAUUCCAGUUCUUAGCAGCUCCAAAGCUUGACUCUCCUGUAUAGCUGGGAACGCCAGAUUGAGAUCUUGGCCUUCAUGGGUCUUGGGGUUUGGAGAAGAAAACUGUGAGAGACUAGGUGGGUUUAGAUCAGGGAGCUUAGAUGAAGCAGA
rnacentral:misc_RNA from 1 species